CCUACGGGAGGCAGCAGUGGGGGAUAUUGCACAAUGGGGGGAACCCUGAUGCAGCGACGCCGCGUGGGUGAAGGAGUGCUUCGGCAUGUAAAGUCCUAUCGGCAGGGAAGAAGCAAGAGGGUACCUGACUAAGAAGCCCCGGCUAACUCCGUGCCAGCAGCCGCGGUAAUACGUAGGGGGCGAGCGUUAUCCGGAUUCACUGGGAGUAAAGGGAGCGUAGACGGGCAAGCAAGCCAGUGGUGAAAGCCAGGGGCCCAACCACGGGACUGCCUUUGGAACUGCAUGUCCGGAGUGCGGGAGGGGCAGGUGGAAUUCCUGGUGUAGGGGUGAAAUGCGUAGAGAUCAGGAGGAACACUGGCGGCGAAGGCGGCCUGCUAGAACGCGACUGACGUUGAGGCGCGAAAGCGUGGGGAGCGAACAGGAUUAGAUACCCCUGUAGUG
rnacentral:rRNA from 1 species